AAGCCAAACAACACAACACAAAACACAGCAGGCUUGCUCCCGCAGAAAGCCCUCCCCGAGCCCCCUCUCCGCGCAGAGCCCCGCUCAGGCCCGGGGGGGCCGCGGGCAGCGCCGCUUCCCUGGGCCUUUGCUGCCCCCCGCUGGCCGCGGCCAGGCGGCGGCGGCGGCUCCGUCCCGCGGCGGGCCCGGGGGGGGCCUGGCGGCGGGCAGCCGGGGCUCCGCGACCCCGCUGCAAGCGGGGGGCCCGGGAGGGCCCCGGUGCGACCCCGAACCCCCCCGCCCCGUGCCCCUGGGAGAGGGCCGGGACAAGGCCCCCGGAGAAGCCCGCGGGCACUGCGGGACCCAGAGCCGAGGGCUCACGGCGGGGCCGGUGUGCUCAGCGCCUGCUUGGAGGAGAAGGAGAGGAAAGCUGCAGCAGUAAGGAGAACCGGGACGGAGCAGCCUGAAGGGUUCUGUGCCCUCGUAACGCUGCUCGCUCCUGAAGGGCAGCACGGCGUGGCCACCUCACAGCAGGAACCGGGCGAAGCAGGCGAGGCCCAAACCCUGCGUUUGUCAGCGCCAAGUCCCAACAGCUCUGCGCCAGGGCCCCCGGCAGGCUCCAGGUCCCCUCUCUGGGUGCUGGUGGCAGGACAGGACCCGGGUCCCCCUGCUCAGCCUCUCGUGAGCUCCAGGACAGGGCUGAGCCACCCACAGAGACCCAGGCGAGGGCCGGGGCAGGCGCUGGCGAGGGUAGGGGUCUCCGGUGUGCCGAGACGAGCCGCAGCGACGUCCCGCCCGGUGCCUUGCAGCGGCCAGCACCUCACGGGUGAGUUGAGUUACCCGACCGGGGCGAGAUUUGACUUGAGCAUUUACUACGGAACAGCCAGCGGAGUGUCUGUGCUUACCUUUCGUACGCCAUCUCCGACCACAGUGCUUUGUGGUUCGUUACCCCUCAAUGAACCCAGGAACGUCUGCUUGGCAAAAGCCCGUCCUCCUGUGAGGCGUCCGGCACGGACCAGGGGACGUUCCUACAGCUCCGUCACCAGCAUGUUCCAAGAAGGGAUUGCAAGUUGA
rnacentral:lncRNA from 1 species